UCAGGAUGAACGCUAGCUACAGGCUUAACACAUGCAAGUCGAGGGGCAGCAGGGAAGUAGCUUGCUAUUCCGCUGGCGACCGGCGCACGGGUGAGUAACGCGUAUCCAACCUGCCCCGUACUCGGGGACAGCCCUCUGAAAGGAGGAUUAAUACCCGAUAUUGUCGCUGUGGGACAUCCCAUGGUGAUGAAAGAUUCAUCGGUACGGCGAUGGGGAUGCGUAUGAUUAGGACGUAGGCGGGGUAACGGCCCACCUAUCCGACGAUCAUUAGGGGUUCUGAGAGGAAGGUCCCCCACAUAGGAACUGAGACACGGUCCUAACUCCUACGGGAGGCAGCAGUGAGGAAUAUUGGUCAAUGGGCGAGAGCCUGAACCAGCCAAGUAGCGUGAAAGGAUGACUGCCCUAUGGGUUGUAAACUUCUUUUAUAGGGGAAUAAAGUGCUCCACGCGUGGAGUUUUGUAUGUACCCUAUGAAUAAGCAUCGGCUAAUUCCGUGCCAGCAGCCGC
rnacentral:rRNA from 1 species